rnacentral:ribozyme from 16 species
GCUGCCAUUUGAUGAAUAGCUUCAAUGUUUUUUAUUUUUUUCUGCUUGAUUUCAUGACAUUGUCAUCAUGUAAUAAUGAUAAAUAAGGUUACUACUUACUGCUCCUCAUUAUUAC